CGUCUGUGUUCCUCCUUUCAUGCUGUGUCAGACCUUCAGCUCGUUUUUUGUUAAAGUUCAGCUCCAUCUCUUCCGCAUCACAAACACACCGGCUUUGCAGGUGUUACAGGAAGUAGAUUUUUAAGUGCUCAGAAGAGACAGCUGGCAGAAAAACAUCUUGAAAUUUAGACCGAGUAAACUGAUAACACAGAGCAGACUCUGUAGGAGUCGCAGGAGUGAUCCCUGCUUUUAGUGUGUUCGGCUGGAAUGCAAACAUUUACAGGAAAGUGUGUGAAUGUCUGAAGGGCAGUUCAGACAAUUAAUGGGAAAUCCAUGUUUUUGUGUGAGUAUGAAUGAUCCGUGUGUGUCUUUGUGUGAAGAGAUGCACCGAUACAGCCCACUGUGAAAAUAAAAAGCCUGAGUUUGAGUUCUUACCCAGUGGUGAU